rnacentral:lncRNA from 1 species
AGGUACGUGUGUGGAUCGGGCCCCCCCCCGGCCGCAGCCCCCCGUGCCCCCCCUGCCAGGCCCUCUCCUCUCUGUGUUUCAGGGCGAGCCGGGCCCCCGGGGCGAGCCGGGCGAGAGGGGCACUUGGGUGAGUGGCACAGGGGACAUCAGGGACGGGAGGGACACGCGGGGGUUGGGCUGGGCGGGGGAUGGACCCCGACACCCGAUUGGGACCCCAGUGAUGUCCUCAGGGUCCCCACUUGUUCCCACUGCCCCACAGCUUGUCUCUGGAUCCCCAGUGAUGUCCUGGGUGUCCCCAGCACCCCAAAGGUGGCUCUGGGAGUCCCUGGCCAAUGUCACCCAGUGCCAAUGUCACCUGAACUGGGUGGUGGGGCACAGAGCAGGCUCAGACCCCCCCCCGGGGGUUCCCCCUCUCCUUCCCCUGGUGUCGUGGUGAGUUGGGGAAUCCCCCGGGGGUGGUCUGGGGCCAUUUGGGGUGCAGGCCCCCCUGAGCCCGUGCCUCUCUUCCCCAGGGGGAGGGUUUGCACCAGCUCCGCGAGGCGCUGAAGAUUUUAGCAGAGAGGGUUUUAAUCUUGGAAACAAUGAUUGGGCUCUACGAGCCAGAGCCAGGCUCGGGCAGCGGUGCCCCCGGCACGGCGACCCCUGGGGUGCCCCGUGGCAAGCGUGGCAGCGGCCACCCCCCCUACCGCAUCGUCACCGCCACCCACCGCGCCCCCCCCAGAGCCGUGACAGGGGUGGGGGCGUCACCCAGGCCACCCCCACUGUGCCACCCUGGGGAGCAGGAUGGGCUCAGCCUCGUCCCCCCUCUUGGUGCUACUGGUGGCACGGCACCGUCCCCGCCACGACGCUUCGCCCCUAUCGCCGCUGCUUGAGCCCCCAGGAGGGCCAGGGGUGUGCCCAAGGCCGUUUCUGUCCCCCGGCCAAGGCGCAGCUCCGGGGGGAUGGGCUCUGUCUCAUCCCAUCCCCCCCGGGCACCCCAGCCCGGGGGAGGGGAUUGGGGGGGGCUGGCAGUGGGCACCCCCCAGGUGGGGACCCCGCUGCGCCACGCGCUUCGCUGCUUUGGGACCCGCCGGGUCAUUAAAUGUCCCCAAAU